GACGAACGCUGGCGGCGUGCUUAACACAUGCAAGUCGAACGGAAAGGCCCUGUCUUUGUGGGGUGCUCGAGUGGCGAACGGGUGAGUAACACGUGAGUAACCUGCCCUUGACUUUGGGAUAACUUCAGGAAACUGGGGCUAAUACCGGAUAGGAGCUCCUGCUGCAUGGUGGGGGUUGGAAAGUUUCGGCGGUUGGGGAUGGACUCGCGGCUUAUCAGCUUGUUGGUGGGGUAGUGGCUUACCAUGGCUUUGACGGGUAGCCGGCCUGAGAGGAGGACCGGACACAUUGGGACUGGACUGCGACCCAGCCUCGUAUCGGAGGGAACGGUGGGGAAGAUUACCCAAGGGGAGGGGGGCAACUGCAGCAACGCCGCGUGGGGGAUGACAGCCUUCGGGUAGGGAAGCGCUGUCGCCUGUGAUGAAGCGUGAGUGACGGUAAUGGGUGAAGAAGCCCCGGCUAACUACGUG
rnacentral:rRNA from 1 species